rnacentral:rRNA from 1 species
GGACUACCCGGGUAUCUAAUCCUGUUUGCUCCCCACGCUUUCGUGCAUGAGCGUCAGUGCUGGCCCAGGAGGCUGCCUUCGCCAUCGGUGUUCCUCCACAUCUCUACGCAUUUCACUGCUACACGUGGAAUUCCACCUCCCUCUGCCACACUCGAGCCUCGCAGUCCUGAAUGCCAUUCCCAGGUUAAGCCCGGGGCUUUCACACCCAGCUUACGAGACCGCCUGCGCACGCUUUACGCCCAGUAAUUCCGAUUAACGCUCGCACCCUACGUAUUACCGCGGCUGCUGGCAC